UGCUGCACUUGACGGGAUAAUAAAAUAACAAGUAUGUAUUUCAGUUUGAAGAUUUUUCAAAUGGUUAAUUUAUAUUAGGAUGCUGCAAAUUAAUUUUACGAUCUAGGUGUACAACAAAGUCCGAAGAGCAAACAUUCUCUUUUGUACCAUCGUCCGAUAACUAUGUAUUUCCUAUUAAUUAAAACCUUCAUGCUUGUAUAGAGUAAGUAGUAACUAAACCGCCUAUUUAUCACAUUUCAGAGGCCGUAAAUCAAGAGUUAGAUUGCCAUGACUGGUCGCGGUAGUCGUGUACCUUCAGAGUCAGCCACAUACGUAUGUCGUGUUCCAUGAACGUUCCGUUUCACGUUCAUUGUUAUGAACGUAAAGUAACAUAUUUAGAAAAGUUCAACGUUAUAUUUCGGGAUUAGAAUUUAGAUAGAGUAAGCAAUUGAAAGCCAUGAAAAAUCAAUAGAAACUUAUAGGUUUGGCCAUUUAGUUUCUCAAUACUUUGUUGAAGACUAAACGCUUUCAGUCGUGUAAACACGAACACGAUUAAAUUCGAAAUAUCUAAAAUCGGCGUAUGAACUCGGAUAUUCAGGGCAACAUUCGAUCUGGUUUAAUGCUUCUUCCACUCUCUUUGUAUAGGUUGCACAUCCGUGUACUGAAUGCGUGUAUAUAUAUACACGCCCCAUUUAUAAAGGUAUACGACUAUACACGUCUACGUGACUAUAUGUAGGAGUCUAUUUGAAUAUACAGGUACGGAUAAGUAUGUAUUCAACGUUUCUGGGGAGAAAAGCGACCAUGGAGUAGCGGUUGUUAAAGAGCACUGAUUUUGAAAAUAAGGAGAGGGCAGACUCGAUUUUAUCGUUGGAACUUACCUAAACGGUGGACAGGACUAAAACGAACGAGACUGAGUGCUCCGUGAUCUAGAUCACAAUUCCUUCUUCGUGCUCGCUCUCUGGCGAGCUUUGCUCUUCUUCUUAAACAACAGAUGACCAUUAGAGCCAACAAUGGAAAUCCGAGUAUGCAUGAUACUAUUGGGAUGAUGAUACUCUCUGGAGUUACUAAAAAAAAAGUAAAAUAAUUUGUAAUUCAAUCGUGAAGAUGUGUCAGAAACCGUUUACGUGUAAAUUCUAUUGGCUUCACUAUCAGUCGAGUUACUAGAUCUAGCAAUAAGUAUUCCUAACGAAGCUUCAUUAUUCUCACGUUUGUUUCUUAAGUUUGUUUUUAUGAUUAGUAUAUAUUAAGCAAACUAAGCAAAUACAUCUUAGAAUCCCAUUUCUUUUCUUACUGAUAUAACAUUUUAAUAAACAUUACAUUGUAAUAAAUACAAAGCAGAACUGACAUUUAUGAUAAGUGAAUCUUUUAAUAAAAAUAGAAACGAGUCUUA